GACGAACGCUGGCGGCGUGCCUAAUACAUGCAAGUUGAGCGCUGAAGGUUGGUACUUGUACCAACUGGAUGAGCAGCGAACGGGUGAGUAACGCGUGGGGAAUCUGCCUUUGAGCGGGGGACAACAUUUGGAAACGAAUGCUAAUACCGCAUAAAAACUUUAAACACAAGUUUUAAGUUUGAAAGAUGCGAUUGCAUCACUCAAAGAUGAUCCCGCGUUGUAUUAGCUAGUUGGUGAGGUAAAGGCUCACCAAGGCGAGGAUACAUAGCCGACCUGAGAGGGUGAUCGGCCACCUUGGGACUGAGACACGGCACAAACGCCUACGGGAGGCAGCAGUAGGGAAUCUUCGGCAAUGGACGAAAGUCUGACCGAGAAACGCCGCGUGAGUGAAGAAGGUUUUCGGAUCGUAAAACUCUGUUGGUAGAGAAGAACGUUGGUGAGAGUGGAAAGCUCAUCAAGUGACGGUAACUACCCAGAAAGGGACGGCUAACUACGUG
rnacentral:rRNA from 1 species